rnacentral:rRNA from 1 species
AUUGAACGCUGGCGGAAUGCUUUACACAUGCAAGUCGAACGGCAGCAUAGGUGCUUGCACCUGAUGGCGAGUGGCGAACGGGUGAGUAAUACAUCGGAACGUGCCCAGUCGUGGGGGAUAACGUAGCGAAAGUUACGCUAAUACCGCAUACGAUCUACGGAUGAAAGCGGGGGACCGUAAGGCCUCGCGCGAUUGGAGCGGCCGAUGUCGGAUUAGGUAGUUGAUGGGGUAAAGGCCCACCAAGCCAACGAUCUGUAGCUGGUCUGAGAGGACGACCAGUCAAACUGGGAUUGAGACACGGCCCAGACUCCUACGGGAGGCAGCAGUGUGGAAUUUUGGACAAUGGGCGCAAGCCUGUUCCAGCCAUUCCGCGUGCAGGAUGAAGGCCUUCGGGUUGUAAACUGCUUUUGUACGGAACGAAACGGCUCUUUCUAAUAAAGAGGGCUAAUGACGGUACCGUAAGAAUAAGCACCGGCUAACUACGUGCCAGCCGCCGCCGUAA